rnacentral:rRNA from 1 species
CCUACGGGAGGCAGCAGUGGGGAAUAUUGCACAAUGGGGGAAACCCUGAUGCCGCGACGCCGCGUGAGUGAAGAAGUCUUUCGGUACGUAAAGCUCUAUCAGCAGGGAAGAAAAUGACAGUACCUGACUAAGAAGCCCCGGCUAACUACGUGCCAGCAGCCGCGGUAAUACGUAGGGGGCAAGCGUUAUCCGGAUUUACUGGGUGUAAAGGGAGCGUAGACGGCAGCGCAAGUCUGGAGUGAAAUCCCAUGGCUUAACCAUGGAACUGCUUUGGAAACUGUGCAGCGAGAGUGCAGGAGAGGUAAGCGGAAGUCCUAGUGUAGCGGUGAAAUGCGUAGAUAUUAGGAGGAACACCAGUGGCGAAGGCGGCUUACUGGACUGUAACUGACGUUGAGGCUCGAAAGCGUGGGGAGCAAACAGGAUUAGAUACCCUAGUAGUC